ACCGCCGCCUUGGACAUGUCACCCCAUGAUUGGCUGCAGCUCAUCCGGCCAUAUGACGCCACGGAAUAGGCAGAGAUCAAGGAAUGGAAAUUUACCCAGCGCCUGCGCAAUAAUCUUGUUUACAUUCGGUGCCUGCCGGAUGCAGGCGCCAUCUUGUAAUGGAGAAUGCAGGGACGGCUCCCUACAGAUCCCCCUUUUUUUAUUAAUUAAUGAUAAGGCUUUAUAUUUUUACAAGCAAAUAGGUCACCCAUAUGUUGAGGGAUAGAGGCAGAGGUUGAACCUUCCCAAAAUCAAACAUUAAGACUGUGUACGGGAGUCGCAACUAGGCUGUUAGCUUGACCCGAAGCACUCUCGACCUGUCCUCUGCCGUUUUUCUGGGAAAGGGGAUUCUCAAGGCAGGUAACCCUUAUGCAGGUCAACGUACCUCCCAGAGAAGCCUGUAUAAUAGGCAACUCUGUGCGAUGCCUAUGCUCAGCAUCCCUCUUUUUGGGGCUGCACAAACCAGACACUCUACCCUGUGCAGUGAGCCUAGGCUCCGGGUGUGCAAGAGCUGUCUGGCCGGCGGCCUAUCGCUUAGUAGCCAAAAAUAUAAGCGCUUGGGUGAUCUCUUGGUUUGAGCCCUGGAGCUUACAUGCCAGUCAAAAGUAACAGCAAUCCAUAAGCGGCUGUAUCGAACAAUUACACCCACCCCUUUUCUCACAGGCCAGCCAAAAAACGGCUGUAUCGAACAAUUAUACCCACCCCUUUUCUCACAGACCAGCCAAAAAUAACAGCAAUCUGUAAACGGCUGCAUCGAACAAUUACCCCCACCCCUUAAGUAGAGACAAUCGCUCCGCCAAGGACAGGAGUUAAUCUGGAUAACAAUAGAGGCUCUCAACUCCCGGGGGUAGAGGGUGGAGUUUCGACUUUUGAAGGUCUGUAGAGGCUCUUUAGGUUGAAUCUUUUUGGGAUCCAUAGGGGAUUCUCUUCAUCCUGUGAGAAAACACAAUAUCGCUCCCCUGGAUCUUAUGAGAAUAGGAUCCGGGCCUUUCCAAAAAUCAGUUAAGAUAUCUUUCCAUUUUACCAUUUCCUUUUGGCCUUUUAGUUUUUGAGGUGAGACGCUUGGCCUCGGUAUGGCCCCCAGCGUUAAUGUAAAUGAGGCUUUAAAGCCCCAGGCAUUCCAGGCCUUUAAGAAGUGUUGAAUAGCAGGCAUGGCCUUUUCCCCUAUCAAAGACUGGGAAAGCCAUCUGUAAUUUUCUUUGCUCCUCUGAUGGUAAGAAGGAGUCGGUUCCAAAUAGUGGGGGUGCUGAUGGAAGCACACCCGCUGGCAUUUUUGGCAGCCGAUAUCUAUCGGGGUGGUAUCGUGCUGCUUCUUUCUCUAGCUCUGCUUCCUUGUUAGAGUCUAAAAUCUCAGAGUCUGAGCUGCUCAGCUCCAAGGCUUCCAGUUUCGUUGUAGGGCAGCUUCUAAAUUUACCGGGGUGUGACCGGCCAUUCCCCAUUCUUUCUCCCUCCUUUUUUGUCUCUCCCUCAUCUAGCUGAGCUGUUUCUUUUAAAACUUUAUCUCUUGAGCUUUUAGAGUUAUCAGAGCUAUCAAGAUUUAAAGCUUUAUACACUCCCUUGUCAGUAGACAUUCCAGGAGGUCCUUUUUUCUUAUAUUUUAUUGUUAGGCGCGCCCCAUCUCUCAUUACAUUCGGUUUCUGAUAUGUAAUUCUGGACUUCUUUAAGAUUGCUGUAACAGUGAGAAAAGUCAAAAUAGCUCCUAGUAAAAGCAUAGAAGCCUCUAUAUUAACCUCCCACAAUAGCAACAUUCCCAAGCCAAAGUCCAGAAAAAUCAUACCUCUCCGAAUUUACCACCCUGCAGUUCUGAAUCCGCCUCGUUAGAGGGGUCUCCGAGGUGCUGGAAAUGUUCACAUGUUCCCGGGUUUCGGCACCAUAUGUCCCGCGCGCUCGCUCUGUAUUUCUCGCCAGCAAGAAAUCAUACGCAGGACACUCGGAUCCUUCUGCAGGAAAGCUUUAAUGCGUCUUGAGAGGAGAGCAUAAGCUUACCAGAGCGGAGACCCUGAACCAAGAAGCCCGUCCCCUAAU
rnacentral:lncRNA from 1 species